GUGAAUCAUCGAAUUUUUGAACGCACAUUGCACUCUCUGGUAUUCCGGAGAGUAUGCCUGCUUGAGGGUCAGUUUAAAUAAAACUAGGUUUGGUUGCUGCCUUUCGUGGUGACUCACCGGAUUUGGGUCUUCUUGCUUUCGGUUAAGUGACCUAAAUUGUUGCAUGAUUUUUUUCGAACGUAUUUAAAUGAUUUUACGUACGCUUGCGUU
rnacentral:misc_RNA from 1 species